rnacentral:rRNA from 1 species
AGAGUUGAUCAUGGCUCAGAACGAACGCUGGCGGCAGGCCUAACACAUGCAAGUCGAGCGCGCCCUUCGGGGUGAGCGGCGGACGGGUUAGUAACGCGUGGGAACGUACCCUUUGGUAGGGAAUAGCCACUGGAAACGGUGAGUAAUACCCUAUGAGCCCUUCGGGGGAAAGAUUUAUCGCCAAAGGAUCGGCCCGCGUUAGAUUAGGUAGUUGGUGGGGUAAUGGCCUACCAAGCCUACGAUCUAUAGCUGGUUUUAGAGGAUGAUCAGCAACACUGGGACUGAGACACGGCCCAGACUCCUACGGGAGGCAGCAGUGGGGAAUCUUGGACAAUGGGGGCAACCCUGAAUCCAGCCAUGCCGCGUGAGUGAAGAAGGCCUUAGGGUCGUAAAGCUCUUUCGCCUGUGAAGAUAAUGACGGUAGCAGGUAAAGAAACCCCGGCUAACUCCGUGCCAGCAGCCGC